rnacentral:rRNA from 1 species
GAUCCUGGCUCAGGAUGAACGCUAGCUACAGGCUUAACACAUGCAAGUCGAGGGGCAGCAUGGUGGUAGCUUGCUACCGCUGAUGGCGACCGGCGCACGGGUGAGUAACGCGUAUCCAACCUUCCCCCUGGUAGGGCAUAGCCCGGCGAAAGUCGGAUUAAUACCCUAUGCUAUCCUUUGAGAGCAUUUGACGAGGAUUAAAGAUUCAUCGCCAGGGGAUGGGGAUGCGUCCGAUUAGGUUGACGGCGGGGUGACGGCCCACCGUGCCCGCGAUCGGUAGGGGUUCUGAGAGGAAGGUCCCCCACAUUGGAACUGAGACACGGUCCAAACUCCUACGGGAGGCAGCAGUGAGGAAUAUUGGUCAAUGGGCGGGAGCCUGAACCAGCCAAGUAGCGUGCGGGACGACGGCCCUAUGGGUUGUAAACCGCUUUUGCAGGGGAAUAAAGUGGGGCACGCGUGCCCCUUUGCAUGUACCCUGAGAAUAAGGACCGGCUAAUUCCGUGCC